rnacentral:tRNA from 1 species
UCACUGAGAAGCUAAGCAGGGUUAAGCGUUAGCCUUUUAAGCUAAAAACCGGUGAUCCCCAACCACCCCCAGUGAU